GACGAACGCUGGCGGCGUGGAUUAGGCAUGCAAGUCGAACGGUAUCAUCCUUUCGGGGGUGAGAGAGUGGCGAACUGGUGAGUAACACGUAGGUUAUCUACCCUCAAGACGGGGACAACCCAGGGAAACUUGGGCUAAUACCGGAUGUGAGCAACUUUUAGUUGUUUGAAAGGUGGCGUAAGCUGUCGCUUGGGGAUGAGCCUGCGUCCUAUUAGUUAGUUGGUGAGGUAACGGCUCACCUAGGCAAUGAUAGGUAGGCGGCCUUAACGGGUGGUCGCCCACACUGGGAUUGAGAUACGGCCCAGACUCCUACGGGAGGCAGCAGUCGAGAAUAGUCUACAAUGGUCGGAAGACUGAUAGUGCGACGCCGCGUGAACGAUGAAUCCCUUCGGGGUGUAAAGUUCUUUUAUAUGUGAGCAGUGCUUCUUAUAUUAACAGUAUGGGGAGAGAGAUAUUAGCAUAUGAAUAAGCAACGGCUAACUCCGUGCCAGCAGCCGACGGU
rnacentral:rRNA from 1 species